rnacentral:rRNA from 1 species
UACAGAGGUCUCAAGCGUUGUUCGGAUUCAUUGGGCGUAAAGGGUGUGUAGGUGGCGCCGUAAGUCGGGUGUGAAAUUUCGGAGCUUAACUCCGAAACUGCAUUCGAUACUGCGGUGCUUGAGGACUGAAGAGGAGACUGGAAUUCAUGGUGUAGCAGUGAAAUGCGUAGAGAUCAUGAGGAAGACCAGUGGCGAAGGCGGGUCUCUGGACAGUUCCUGACACUGAGACACGAAGGCCAGGGGAGCAAACGGG